UACAGAGGGUGCAAGCGUUGCUCGGAAUCAUUGGGCGUAAAGGGCAGGUAGGUGGUCCUAUUUGUCUGAGGUGAAAUCCCAGGGCUUAACCCUGGAAGUGCCUUAGAAACGGUAGGACUAGAGUUCUAGAGGGGUUCGUGGAAUUCCCGGUGUAGCGGUGAAAUGCGUAGAGAUCGGGAGGAACACCAGCAGCGAAGGCAGCUCGCUGGGACGGUAUUGACGCUAAGGCGCGAAAGCGUGGGGAGCGAACAGG
rnacentral:rRNA from 1 species